rnacentral:rRNA from 1 species
GGUGUGGAUAGGGGAGAAAUUCCAAUCGAACCCGGAGAUAGCUGGUUCUCCUCGAAAUAGCUUUAGGGCUAGCCUCUGGUUAGUCUGCCGCAGGUAGAGCACUGAAUUUCCUAGGGGGCGUCAAAGCCUACCGAAGAAUAUCAAACUGCGAAUGGCGGACAGAUGAUGCCAGGGAGUCAGACUGCACGAGAUAAGUUGGGUGGUCAAAAGGGAAAGAGCCCAGACCUACAGCUAAGGUCCCAAAGUGUGUGUUAAGUGGAAAAGGAUGUGGGAUUUCGAAGACAACUAGGAUGUUGGCUCAGAAGCAGCCACACAUUAAAAGAGUGCGUAAUAGCUCACUAGUCGAGAGGUCCUGCGCCGAAAAUGUCCGGGGCUAAAACACAACACCGAAGCUUAGGAAUUCUAACGAAUUGGUAGAGGAGCAUUGAAGACGGAACGAAGCCAUACCGGAAGGAAUGGUGGACUGUCUUGAAGAGAGAAUGCCGGAAUGAGUAGCGAGAUUGAAGUGAGAAUCUUCAAGGCCGAAUAUCUAAGGUUUCCAGGGUAAAGCUGAUCUGCCCUGGGUAAGUCGGGGCCUAAGGCAAGGUCGAAAGACGUAGUCGAUGGAUAACAGGUUGAAAUUCCUGUACUGCAUCAAAUCAGAAAUGUGGGGACACAUGAGGGAAGCAUGAGCCGGAAAAGGAAAGUCCGGUACAAGCGCAGCAGAGGACAGAUAGGCAAAACCGUCUGUCAACUCGAGGGCGUGAUGUGGAGCGAACCAAAGUAGCGAAGCAUGUGGAGCUUGUGUCGAGAAAAGCCGCUAUAGUGUUUGAUGUACCCGUACCGUAAACCGACACAGGUGGAUGAGGAGAGAAUCCUAAGGCCGGCGGGAGAAGCAUUGUUAAGGAACUCGGCAAAAUGACCCCGUAACUUCGGGAGAAGGGGUGCUCCAGAGAUGGAGCCGCAGAGAACUGGCCCAAGCAACUGUUUAGCAAAAACACAGGUCUAUGCAAAACCGAAAGGUGAGGUAUAUGGGCUGACGCCUGCCCGGUGCUGGAAGGUUAAGAGGAGAUGUUAAUCGCAAGGUGAAGCAUUGAAUUUAAGCCCCAGUAAACGGCGGCCGUAACUAUAACGGUCCUAAGGUAGCGAAAUUCCUUGUCGGGUAAGUUCCGACCCGCACGAAAGGCGUAAUGAUUUGGGCACUGUCUCGACAAUGCACCCGGUGAAAUUGAAAUACCAGUGAAGAUGCUGGUUACCUGCGCCAGGACGGAAAGACCCCAUGGAGCUUUACUCUAGCUUGAUACUGGGGUUCGGUAUUGCAUGUACAGGAUAGGUGGGAGACUGAGAAGAUGUGUCGCCAGAUGCAUCAGAGUCGAUGUUGGGAUACCACCCCUGCAGUACUGGGCUUCUAACCUGCAGCCGUGACCCGGCUGGGGGACAAUGUCUGGUGGGGAGUUUGACUGGGGCGGUCGCCUCCGAAAGAGUAUCGGAGGCGCUCAAAGGUUCCCUCAGAAUGGUUGGAAACCAUUCGAAGAGCGCAAAGGCAGAAGGGAGCUUGACUGCGACACCGACGGGUGGAGCAGGUACGAAAGUAGGACUUAGUGAUCCGGUGGUAUGAAAGUGGGAUUGCCAUCGCUCAACGGAUAAAAGCUACCCUGGGGAUAACAGGCUUAUCACUCCCAAGAGUUCACAUCGACGGAGUGGUUUGGCACCUCGAUGUCGGCUCAUCGCAUCCUGGGGCUGUAGUAGGUCCCAAGGGUUGGGCUGUUCGCCCAUUAAAGCGGUACGCGAGCUGGGUUCAGAACGUCGUGAGACAGUUCGGUCCCUAUCCGGCGUGGGCGUAGGAUAUCUGAGAGGAGCUGUCCUUAGUACGAGAGGACCGGGAUGGACUGACCUCUGGUGCACCGGUUGCAUUGCCAAAUGCAUAGCCGGGUAGCCAAGUCGGGACGGGAUAAACGCUGAAGGCAUCUAAGCGUGAAGCCCCCCUCAAGAUGAGAUAUCCCAUAACAUAAGUUAGUAAGACCCCUUGA